rnacentral:rRNA from 1 species
GACGAACGCUGGCGGCGUGCCUAAUACAUGCAAGUAGAACGCACAGGAUGCACCGUAGUUUACUACACCGUAUUCUGUGAGUUGCGAACGGGUGAGUAACGCGUAGGUAACCUGCCUGGUAGCGGGGGAUAACUAUUGGAAACGAUAGCUAAUACCGCAUAAGAACAUUUACUGCAUGGUAGAUGUUUAAAAGGUGCAAGAGCAUCACUACCAGAUGGACCUGCGUUGUAUUAGCUAGUUGGUGAGGUAACGGCUCACCAAGGCAACGAUACAUAGCCGACCUGAGAGGGUGAUCGGCCACACUGGGACUGAGACACGGCCCAGACUCCUACGGGAGGCAGCAGUAGGGAAUCUUCGGCAAUGGGGGGAACCCUGACCGAGCAACGCCGCGUGAGUGAAGAAGGUUUUCGGAUCGUAAAGCUCUGUUGUUAAGGAAGAACGUGUGUGAGAGUGGAAAGUUCA